UACGUAGGGGGGCGAGCGUUGUCCGGAGUUACUGGGCGUAAAGCGCACGCAGGCGGUCUGCUAAGUUUGGAGUGACAGUUGGUGGCUUAACUGCCAAAGUGCUUCGAAAACUGACAGACUUGAGGGCUUCAGAGGGACACGGAAUUCCGGGUGUAGCGGUGGAAUGCGUAGAGAUCCGGAGGAAGACCGGUGGCGAAGGCGGCCGUGCUGGGCAGUUGACUGACACUGAGGCGCGACGAGCGUGGGGAGCAAACAGG
rnacentral:rRNA from 1 species